UGGCCGAGGAAGCCAUCACAGUGGGGGCCAUGGUGUUGGAGGAGAGAAGGUGGCAGGCUAAGCUUGGCCCCCAUUGCUGGGUCACCACGGUAUAUAUAGCCAUAUAUGGCCAGCUCCUAUCUUUAAUCAAGAUGUGGAAGGGGUGGCUGGCGUUCGUUGGUUGCUUGGUUUCCUUAUCUCUCCGGAUUAGUGUAAGAGGCAUGGCCGUUGGAUGAGUUGUGUGUGCCCAAAAUUUCAGUCGUCCAUGUCAUUGUGUGAUUGCCACAAUCCUUUUUCCAGCCUUGCAUUACUGUAUUAUUCUUUUCGUUUCAUCUUGCUAAAGGUAACGCUUGAAAGGUGCACGAAGAACUCCCUUUGUUGAUUUGCGAUUUAAGUUCAGUGGCACAGGCAUAACGAAUGUUAUAGUACAUCCUUUAUCCACUUUUAUAAUACAAAACUUGUCAACCAGUUAUGCUUGCUUCUAAUCUUUGGUACUUCAUUUUAUAACAUUUUAUACAGGUAACUAACGUAUACUUGCUGCAUGUAUGAUGUGUGUCAUCAUGACCUUUAUGUACUUUAUUCACAAUUAUUCAUUGGAACACAAAAGUGUUGUACUAUUUUCUACACCUAAUCAUUUACAUGCCUUGGAGGAUUUUUAGUAUAGGAAAUGCUAUUUAACUGGCUGUCCAGGCAAGGUAUAACUUUGUUUUAAUCUAUGAGCUAAAGUUUUAGAUCCCUCUGUUAUCCAUUUGCUCAGUUCAUGCCGUCCCCAGUGAACUCAUAAAUUACAUAUGGUGAGUGAAUAUAGACCACAAAAAAUGGUAGAUGUAUGUUCAUUCAUUUCAUGAUGAUGAAGCAACCUGCAAAAUGAUGGAAUCGACCAUGACUACUCAGUGAUAUGGCAAUCAUGUAGGACGAUCAUCGUGAUCAUCCUCCCGAGUCGUCCCCGUGCGGCGGCUGGGAGUACCCCAGAUCCCGUCGCCCCCGACUCCCCCUCUCGUCCCCUCCUCCCUCACCGCCGCCCGAGGGCGCCGCCGGGCAAAGCCUUGCCGUCGCCGGCGGCGGCAGGGACUAGGUGCCCUCCCGCUCGUGAGGAGCUGGCGCGGACCAGCGCCCCCGGGCUGGAGCGUGGCGUGCAUCUGGAUGUCAUGACGGGGGCUGGCGGCGCUCCUGCGAUCCCAUACCUCAUGGCAGGCGGCUUCAAGAUCUGGGGCGACACGGUUGCCAGGGUCGGCGGCGGUGGCGUGGCCGGAUCUAGGACCAGGUGUGAGCUUGGUCUCCGGGUCACGAUCGGCGCGAUGGCAAGUGCGACAUGUCGGCAGCUGGACGGAUCUGCGGGAUUCCAUCCUUGUCUAGUCCUUGACAACUCGAGCAACUCCGAGGGAAACCCUAGAUCCAUGGGAUCAAGCGAUGGCAGUGCUUUUGCGUCGUAGUCCCUCUUCGGGACAUCAUUUUAGAGUUUGCUAUGGUUGAAGGGACCAGCGAGGCAUGCGGCGUACGCCCGGUGUCGCAACUACCGAUGAAAAUUACGCCAACUACGGUCAUGGCGGACGAUGGCGGCGUCUUUGAUGUCGUUUCCUUGUCGAGACAUCGUCAUUGCAGUUGGCAUCAUCAUGCUCGGGAUGCUCCGGGGGAAACCCUAGAUCUGGGUCUCCCGGAUCGGACGAUAAUAGCGUUCUUAGUAUCGCUUUCCCUCAUCGGGGCAUCGUUUUGGAGCAAGUGAUGGCUGGAGGUGAUAAGAGGAGGAGCGGUGCUUCAUCAUACACAUUGGUGGUGUCGGAUCUCGAUGGCAUGGCACCCUGGAAAUUAGGCGUUUGAUGUGCGAUGAUGGACUCGCGUAGGAGGUCGACGCUCUCUGGCGUCGUGGUGGCAUCGGCGGCAGCUAGACCGGGCAAGGUACAUGCAGUAGUACAACUCUGAAGAUGGAUUGGUGGCAGGUGGCUGCGGCGGCCUCAUACCCGGCAGGCGUCCUGGUUGAGGAGCACGCUGGACUGGUGGGUGCCCAUGCCCGGCAGGAGUCCUGGUUGGGACCUCAGGUCUUAGAUGUUAGGUUUGGCUGCGAUGUCUCUUUGGUAUUAGGCCCAGACUAUCAGCGCCCCUUCAUCAACUGGAUUGGAUUAGCGACAGAUGUUGCUUAGACGGUGGCUUUAGUCUUAUUGUUGUAUGGUUUUGUAAGGUCUUGUGCUAAUAAUUAAUAAAAUGAUUGUAUGCAUCGCCCAGAUGCAGAGGCCGGGGGUCCUUCUCCUUUUCUAAAAAUCUAGUCAUUUAAGGUAGAUGUCGUGAUCUUCUUGUGUGACUGUCUCAUAGAUUUGAGCUGCAAAUCGAAUCUUAUAUUCUUCCAUUUUUUUUGAAUUUCCUGCAUGUAGUUAAUUAUUUUUUAUGAAUCCUUAAUGAUAAUUAACAUGGCCCAGAUAUUCACAAAAUAUCCAUAACUAUCAUGAACGAAUCAAUAAAUUACUAUUGCAGAAUGAAGAAUGAACCUUCCAUAGACCCCUCCACUUGGGCCCGUCGGUAGAGAGAUUCAUCACUCAUGGGCCACAAAAUGCGAGCCAAGUAGGACGACCUUCACUAAUGGGCCCUUAAGUUGGGCAUCAAUGGAGGGGCACCCAUGGGGCCCAAAGAUCCAACUGAAUGGACAGUCCAUCUCUACUGACGGUCAUACCGGAAUUUCCUAACGGACGCACAUUGUGUCAAGUUGCCACUGUUUCGCACAGAUGCCAGCGACUGGCGACCGAGAUGGGCCGGCCCAAUUACGAGCCCACAGAUGCGCUACAGUGUCCGGUUUUGGGAAACUUCUAGGAGGUUCCUGAGCGGUUUUGGGAACCUUCUAGAAGGUUCCUGAACCAGUUUUCCCUGGUUUAUUCUGUUUCUUUUUAUUUUUCUUUCAAUAUUGUUUAUUCUUUUUCAUUCUUUAUUUUUAUUUUUUCGUUUUGCCGUUUCUAUAUUCCAUUUUUUAUUUCUUUAAUUCCUUUUCCUUCUCUUUUUUCCUUCAGAAUUAAAAAAUAAUAAAAAUGUUCAGAAGUUAAGAAAAUUUUAUUGUUUAAAAAUUUUGUUCAUAAAUUGAAAAAUGUUCUUCUUUUCAAAAAACCUUCGCAUUUUUAAAAAAUGUUUGGCAUUUAAAAAAUGUUCCGCUUUCAAAAUAUUGUUCACAAAUUACAAAUAAUGUUCACUCUUUCCAAAUUUUGUUCAGAGUUUGGACAUGUUUGCAGACGUAAAAAUGUCCACCUUUUCCAGAAAUGUUCAUAUCUUUUUUUUCAAAAUUUGUUCACAAAUUCAAAAAUUCCUGUUUUUAUAAUUUGUUCACACAUCCAAAAAUUGUUCACACCUUUUAAAAAUUCUCAAAAUUUGUUCACAAAUUCAAAAAGCUUUCCAUUUUUAUAAUUGUUCACAGAUUAAAAAAUUGUUCAAAUCUUUAAAACUUGUUCGUGAUUCUAAAAAAAUGUUCAUAUCUUAAAAGAAAUCACAAAUUCGAACAAAUUCCUGUUCUCAAAAUUAGUUCACAAAUUAAAAAUGUUAUUUUUUGAAAAUUAUUCACAAAUUCAAAAAAAGUUCGCAUUUUGUCCAAACUUGUUCGUGAUUUGUCAAAAAAUGUUCGGAAUUUAAAAAAAUGUACCCGUUCUUUCAAGAUUUGUUCACAAAUUAAAAAAUUAUUUCCCUGUUUAAAUUUGGUUCACAAUUCAAAAAAUCAUGUUUUUUAAACUUCAAUUUUUUGCACGUGUCUAACAAAAUAGGUCAGAGUUUUGAAAAUUGUUCCUUUUUAAAAAAUUGUCCAGAACUGCAAAAUUGUUCCUGUUUUUAAAAUUCGAAUAAUUGCGACCAUUUGUUGAAACUCGUGUGCAUUUUUGCCAAAAACAUUUGGACUUUUAAAAAUAUAUUCAGAAUUAACAAGAAAAGAUUUAAAAAGGAAAAAUAAUGUGACCUGCCGUUGUGACCAGUACUAGUCGUGGUGGCUAGCUAGCUUCGUAUAAAAAAGCACGAUCGCGAGCUCGAGUCCUAGCUCUCGCUUCGAGUUUUUCGUUGCCUUUUUAACACUGCACGCUGCCUGCGUGGGCCGGCCCAGUCGGGCGCCUAACCUGUGCGAUCGCUCGACAUUCUGCCGCAGAAUGCGGCAGAUAGGAAGUCCCGGUCAUACCACACCACCCGUCAAUGUUGGGCGCCCCGUUAGUGCUGAAUUAAGGUAUUUCUAUCUGCUAGAGACGAAGUGGCCUUAUAUGGGCUUUCUCUUUUCUCCUAAACAAAACCAAGCCACCUCCCCCAAUCCAUUCCUCCCCAACGUCAUCACCACCCAAUGUUUUUGUCUCCUUACAUGUGUGCCCCCUCCUUCUUCCACAUUGAUCUGGUCCAACGCUACCGUCUCAUCCCCGCGAUCAUCGUCACUACUCUUCGAUUACUCGUGAUGGCGCGGGUUGUGGCUUCCCACUUGCUCUCUCGUAAGAGUGGUUGGGUAAACCCCAAGUGUAAGGAUGAAGUAACCUAGUAAUAAGCAUUUUCCCCGAUAGGUUUAUCAAACCAGUAGGAAUUUCUUCUACAACCCAAAUCCUCGGUACCUGCACACCAAACACAAAAUAAUCUUGCCCCAAACGUUUCAAGAAGGUUGUCAAGCUUCUUGUCCUGCUAGUUACAAGGAUUAGUUGUUAGUUGAAAGCAAAUAUCAGUUGCUAAGUAGCCUUAGUGUGGUUUGUACCUUCAGAUCUGCCAUGACACUGUCAACACUAUACUCGCCAUGCUUAGGGUUCAUCCUUUUUAUAUACACCAAGAUCAACCUAGGUGCUUCGCGUCGUACUAGCACUAAUCCAACCAUCAAUAUAAAUGAAAUGCCACCAUAAUUUCAAAGCUUAGUUGUUCAAAUACGAAUAUGAUGUGGUACUAAUAUUAGUUUAAAAUAGACACAUGUAGUUGGUCAGCCAAUGUUCCUUGUUGAGUUUCAAAAUACAUGUACACCACUUAUAGAGAGGCAUGAGUGAAUACUAUUUAUUUCUGCGAUCUCGUCCAUCAUGGAUGGGCAACGAACAUUGCAUUGUAUAGAAAGAAGGGUUAUAUAUAACCACCUUUUACAUAGAUGACGCUUUGCCUACGUGCUUUGUGUUGAAGUAGCAACACUCCACCUUUCAAGCUAAACAACAUGACACUCAUAAUUUCAAAGCUUAUUUUGUCAAAUACGAAUUUGAUAUGAUACUGAUAUUAGUUAAAAUGACACACAUUAAUUGUCAGCUAAUGUUCCUACUUCAGUUUUGAAAUGCAUAUCUGCCCCUUAUAGAGAGACAAGAGAGGUUUCUAUCUCUCUAUCCGCUCUUGUCAUCAUGGUUGGGGGGUGAACUUUGUAUAUCGUAUAGUUUGAAGCUGUCAUCUACCAACAAUCAUCACUUCUGGAGAUCUCAACUAGGAGCCUUUUUUGAGUAGUAGGGCCAUAUUAUAUUAAUACACACACCAAAUUACAACUCACAUAGCAUCUCUCGGCAGACUUCCAGAGAUAGUACGCAGGGGUUUAUAAGGAGUCACUAUUGGGGUAGAAUCGGCAAUGCAUUUGUUACACCCCGAUUCAGAGAACCGGAGGUCCCCGUGUUCCAGCCCAGAUAUCCAUUCGUCUGGAACACGACUAUAGCUUGGUACAGAUAGACCAAAAUAAAUAAGUACUUAUGUACAUUAAGGAGACAUGUCUAAGUGUGAGAAGCUCGAGGGCUUUAUUCUACGAGUGGCUUAAGGAAGUACUAAAGACGAAAAUAAUACUAAUGACACAACAGAAGACGGGGUACCAGUGGGGCUCCAAUCUAAAGAGACACUGCUGGUACACGAACUCUUAGGGGAACUCUUCUAUCGGCUCUCUAGUAUCUAGCAUGAUAAGUCAGGUGAGUACUUAAUUUGAAUGUACUCGCAAGCUCACAAACAAUCCAAAGCAAGCAAGAACGGAGCAAAUAAACAUAGCAACGAAGUAAGGACUAGUAAAGCUACUACUAUCAAGACUACUCCAUAGACUUCUUGUCUGCUCGUUUAACAUCUACUGGACUUCUUCUUGAAAUGAGUCCUGCUCAAACGACUCAACAAUAUAAGUUACCUGUUACCACAGUUACUAGAGUUGAAAGUAAAGGAAUAUGGGUACUUGGUCAAAUAGUGUGACCUAACACAAAUGGUGUCCCAUUGUCGGGGACUCGGCUAUUUGAAUAGUUUCAACACACACUCUGUAGAGGUCACACACUUUAAUUUACCCACACCAUAGAUUCUUUGUCUAAUGAAUCUCAUUCAUAGCAUGGCACUCUAACUAUUCCUCCGACCUCCCGCAGGCUAGCCCUGGGAGAGAGGAUCUGGGUCCUUGCCACUCUGUGUGGCACCACUUGUAUUCGCUUAGGAAUAUUUUCUAUUGAGCUCAUCCACAGACCCAGGCUCUCUUGACUGAAUGGCAACUUCCAAGCCAGAGGAAGUCUACACAUUCCAGCUUCCCUCUUCAGAGACACACAAAAGAUACAUACCUAGAAACGGAAUAAGGCCCUCCCAUUCGGCUAGAUGUGGCUAUACUGAGGUUGUUCCGCUUUGUGGCAUUUGGAUUGGCUAGCUAUUUAAAGUUGGGUUAAGAAGGAAAGUAAAACCGUAACUUUGUACUAGCUAUUCAAAUCCACAACUUGUUAUCCUACUAGGGUGAAGUAUUCACGAGGAUUCAUCAUCCUAAGUAGAGGCUUUCCCCGAGAUCCUUUGUGAACAUUGAUACCUAUUUUGCUUAUGAUUCAUGUUGGCAAAAUAAUUACCGGUUACGAGUCAUAGUUAAACUUCUAUUCCACUAGGACCAAAUAAAGGUAUCCUUGCUAGUGACUCACUAUGCUAUUUCAACCACAACAAACUUGACAUAAGCAAAGGGAAGCAAUAAAGAACACUGAAAGAAAAGUAAUGCGGGAAAAGAAAUGCAAGUUGAAUCCAUGGCCUUGCAAUGCAAGUUGAACCUAUAGUGUUAUAGCCAUGGCUCACGCUCAUGUAUUGCAUGGGGCUGAAAAUCUUGAAGCGCGUUAGAAGUGUUAAGCUUCAUGCACUAGCCAACGCAGCCAAAAGUCUGAACUGAUGGAAAGGGCUAGUACAAUCCACAUAUACUAUAACACCCUCUCUCACGUGGGACGGGGAAGACAAGUCAACACAUGCAACCGGAAGAGAGCGACGGCACGCGAAACUCAGGUAUGACUCAAGAGGCCUAUACGUGGACACAAAGGAGGGCUGUCAGCAAUUUUUAAAUAAGUUGCACAAACCAGGACUUGAACUCAAGACCUUAACUCCAAUACCAUGUUAAGCUUCAUUGACUCACUGAAAAACCAGCGGCAGUCACCACAGAGGCAAAACGCUCAAACAAGGCGCGGGGGGCUUGCUUAAGGCCAUAGAGAGAGCGACGAAGACGAGAUACCAUGCCAUCAGGAACAGAAUACCCAGGUGGUGGCUGCAUGUAUACCUCCAUUUGCCUGGUUUGACACCGGGGUGCUCAUGAUUUAUAUAUAUGCAAUGAAGGCGGAGUCAUGCCAUGCUAACAUGAUAAAAUGAGUGGGGAUAACAUUCGUUAAUGAUCGUAUAUUUUGAAAAAGUAAUGAUUAUGUUUCUUAUAUUCAUGGAAAUUAUUAUGUUGAUAUUGUUACUUCAUUGUUUCUCAAUAACUAUAUCAUAAAGAUAUUACAUGAUACAUAUGUUUGUUGGGGAACGUAGUAAUUUCAAAAAAAUUCCUACGCACACGCAAGAUCAUAGUGAUGCAUAGCAACAAAAGGGGAGAGUGUUGUCUAUGUACCCUCGUAGACCGAAAGCGGAAACGUUAGAACAACGCGGUUGAUGUAGUCGUACGUCUUCACGGCCCGACCAAUCAAGCACCGAAACUACGACACCUCCGAGUUCUAGCACACGUUCAGCUCGAUGACGUCCUUCGAACUCCGAUCCAGCCGAGUGUCGAGGGAGAGUUCCGUCAGCACUACGGCAUGGUGACGAUCUUGAUUUUCUACCGUUGCAAGGCUUCUCCUAAGCACCGCUACAAUAUUAUCAAGGAGGACUAUGGUGGAGGGGGGCACCGCACACGGCUAAGAGAUCAAGAGAUCAAUUGUUGUGUCUAGAGGUGCCCCCCUGCACCCGUAUAUAAAGGAUCAAGGGGAAGGGGGCGGCCGGCCAGGAGGAGGUGCGCCAAGGGGGGAGUCCUACUCCCACCGGGAGUAGGACUCCUCCUUCCCUUGUUGGAGUAGGAGAGAAGGAAAGAGGGGGAGAGGAGGAAGGAAAAGAGGGCUGCACCCCUUGUCCAAUUCGGACCAGAGUGGGGCUGUGCGCCUCCUUCCUUUCGGCCUCUCUCCUCUAUUCCCGUAUGGCCCAAUAAGGCCCAUAUACUCCCCGGCGAAUUCCCGUAACUCUCCGGUACUGUGAAAAAUACCCGAAUCACUCGGAACCUUUCCGAAGUCCGAAUAUGGUCGUACAAUAUAUCGAUCUUUACGUCUCAACCAUUUCGAGACUCCUCGUCAUGUCCCCGAUCUCAUCCGGGACUCCGAACUCCUUUGGUACAUCAAAACUCAUAAACUCAUUAUAUAACUGUCAUCGAAACUUUAAGCGUGCGGACCCUAUGGGUUCGAGAACUAUGUAGACAUGACCGAGACACGUUUCCGGUCAAUAAACAAUAGCGGAACCUAGAUGCUCAUAUUGGCUCCUACAUAUUCUACGAAGAUCUUUUAUUGGUCAAACCACAUAACAACAUACGUUGUUCCCUUUAUCAUCGGUAUGUUACUUUCCCGAGAUUUGAUCGUCGGUAUCCAAUACCUAGUUCAAUCUCGUUACCGGCAAGUCUCUUUACUCGUUCCGUAAUGCAUCAUUCCGUAACUAACUCAUUAGCUACAUUGCUUGCAAGGCUUAUAGUAAUGUGCAUUACUAAGAGGGCCCAGAGAUACCUCUUCGACAAUCGGAGUGACAAAACCUAAUCUCGAAAUACGCCAACUCAACAUGUACCUUUGGAGAUAGCUGUAGAGCUCCUUUAUAAUCACCCAGUUACGUUGUGACGUUUGGUAGCACACAAAGUGUUCCUCCGAUAAACGGGAGUUGCAUAAUCUCAUAGUUAUAGGAACAUGUAUAAGUCAUGAAGAAAGCAGUAGCAACAUACUAAAUGAUCAAGUGCUAAGCUAACGGAAUGGGUCAUGUUAAUCACAUCAUUAUCCUAAUUAUGUGAUCCCGUUAAUCAAAUGACAACUCAUGUCUAUGGUUAGGAAACAUAACCAUCUUUGAUUAAUGAGCUAGUCAAGUAGAGGCAUACUAGUGACAUUAAGUUUUGUCUAUGUACUCACACAUGUAUCAUGUUUCCGGCUAAUACAAUUCUAGCAUGAAUAAUAAAAAUUCAUCAUGAUAUAAGGAAAUAAAUAAUAACUUUAUUAUUGCCUCUAGGGCAUAUUUCCUUCAGUCUCCCACUUGCACUAGAAUCAAUAAUCUAGUUCACAUCGCCAUGUGAUUUAACACCAAUAUUCACAUCUGUAUGUGAUUAAUACCCAAUAGUUCACAUUGUCAUGUGAUCAACACCCAAAGGGUUUACUAGAGUCAAUAAUCUAGUUCACAAAUCUAUGUGAUUAACACCCAAAGAGUACUAAGGUAUGAUCAUGUUUUGCUUGUGAGAGAAGUUUAGUCAAUGGGUCUGUCACAUUCAGAGCCGUAUGCAUUUUGCAAAAAUUCUAUGUCUACAAUGCUCUGCACGGAGCUACUUUAGAUAAUUGCUCCCACUUUUAAUAUGUAUCCAGAUUAAGACUUAGAGUCAUCUGGAUCAAUGCCAAAACUUGUAUUGACGUAACCCUUUACGACGAACCUUUUUUCACCUCCACAAUCGAGAAACAUAUCCUUAUUCCACUAAGGAUAAAUUUGACCAAUGUCCAGUGAUCUACUCCUAGAUCACUAUUGUACUCCCUUGCCAAACCAGGACAGAGUAUACAAUAGGUCUGGUCCAUAGCAUGACAUACUUUUAUAGAACCUAUGACUGAUGCAUAGGGAAUGACUUUCAUUCACUUUCUAUUUUCUGCCGUGGUCCGGAUUUGAGUCUUACUCAAUUUCUUACCUUUGCAACAUAGGCUAGAACUCUUUCUUUGACUGUUCCACUUUGAACUAUUUCAAAAUCUUGUCAAGGUAUGUACUCAUUGAAAAUAUUAUCAAGCGUCUUGAUCUAUCUCAAUAGAUCUUGAUGCUCAAUAUGUAAGUAGCUUUACUGAGGUCUUUCUUUUAAAGAACUCCUUUCAAACACUUCUUUAUGCUUUCCAGAAUUUUUUUAUAUCAUUUCUGAUCAACAAUAUGUCACUCACAUAUACUUAUCAGAAAGGCUGUAGUGCUCCCACUCAUUUUAUUGUAAAUGCAUGCUUCACUGCAAGUCCAUAUAAAACUAUAUGCUUUGAUCAAAGCGUAUAUUCCAACUCCGAGAUGCUUGCACCAGUCCAUAGUUGGAUCGCUAGAGCUUGCACAAUUUGUUAGCACCUUUAGGAUUGACAAAACCUUCUGAUUGCAUCAUAUACAACUCUUCUUUAAUAAAUCCAUUAAAGAAUGCAGUUUUGACAUCCAUUUGCCAGAUUUCAUAAAAUGUGGCAAUUGCUAAUAUGAUUCGGACAGACUUAAGCAUCGAUACGAGUGAGAAAAUCUCAUCGUAUUCAACACCUUAAACUUGUCAAAAAACUUUUGCGACAAGUCGAGCUUUGUAGAUAGUAACACUACUAUCAGCGUCUGUCUUCCUCUUGAAGAUCCAUUUAUCUUCCAUGGCUUGCCGAUCAUCGGGCAAGUCCACCAAAGUCCACACUUUGUUCUCAUACAUGGAUCUCAUCUCAGAUUUUAUGGUCUCAACCCAUUUUGCGGAAUCUGGGAUCAUCAUCGCUUCCUCAUAGUUUGUAGGUUCAUCAUGGUAUAGUAACAUGACCUCCAUAAUAGGAUUACCGUACCACUCCGGUGCGGAUCUUACUCUGGAAGACCUACGAGGUUCUGUAGUAACUUAAUCUGAAGUUUCAUGAUCAUCAUCAUUAGCUUCCUCACUAACUGGUGUAGGAAUCACUGGAACUGAUUUCUGUGAUGAACUACUUUCCAAUUCGGGAGAAGGUACAAUUACCUUAUCAAGCUCUACUUUCCUCCCACUCACUUCUUUCGAGAGAAACCCCUUCUCUAGAAAGGAUCCAUCUUAGCAACGAAUAUUUUGCCUUCGGAUCUGUGAUAGAAGGUGUACCCAACAAUUUCCUUUGGGUAUUCUAUGAAGACGCACUUCUCUGAUUUGGGUUCGAGCUUAUCAGGUUGAAAUUUUUUCUCAUAAGCAUCGCAGCCCCAAACUUUAAGAAACGACAGCUUAGGUUUAUUGCUAAACCAUAGUUCAUACGGUGUCGUCUCAACGGAUUUAGAUGGUGCCCUAUUUUAACGUGAAUGCAGCUGUCUCUAAUGCAUAGCCCCAAAACAAUAUUGGUAAAUCGGUAAGAGACAUCAUAGAUCGCACCAUAUCCAAUAAAGUGCGGUUACGACGUUCGAACGCACCACUACGAUGUGGUGUUCCAGGUGGCAUGAAUUGUGAGACUAUUCCACAUUGUUUUUAUACGAAAGCCAAACUCGUAACUCAAAUAUUCUCCUCCACGAUCAGAUCGUAGAAACUUUAUUUUCUUGUUACGAUGAUUCUCCACAUCACUCUGAAAUUCUUUGAACUUUUCAAAUGUUUCAGACUUGUGUUUUAUUAAGUAGAUAUACUCAUAUCUUGCUCAAAUCAUCUUGUGAAGGUCUGAAAAUAACGAUACCCGCCACGAGCAUCAAUACUCAUUGGACCGCAUACAUCAGCAUGUAUUAUUUCCAAUAAGUCACUAGCUCGUUCCAUUGUUCCGGAGAACGGAGUUUUAGUCAUCUUGCCCAAAAGGCACGGUUCGCAAGCAUCAAAUGAUUCAUAACCAAGUGAUUCCAAAAAUCCAUCUUUAUGGAGUUUCUUCAUGCGCUUUACACCGAUAUGACCCAAACGGUAGUGCCACCAAUAAGUUGCACUAUCACUAUAAACUUUGCAUCUUUUUGGCAUCAAUAUUAUGAAUAUGUGUAUCACUACGAUCGAGAUCCAAUAAACUAUUUUCAUUGGGUGUAUGACCAUCGAAGGUUUUAUUCAUGUAAAUAGAACAACAAUUAUUCUCUGACUUUAAAUGAAUAACCAUAUUGCAAUAAACAUGAUCAAAUCAUAUUUAUGCUCAACGCAAAAGCCAAAUAACAUUUAUUUAGGUUUAACACUAAUCCCAAAAGUAUAGGGAGUGUGCGAUGAUGAUCAUAUCAAUCUUGGAACUACUUCCAACACUGAUCGUCACUUCACCCUCAACUAGUCUCUGUUUAUUCUGUAACUCUUGUUUCGAGUUACUAAUUUUUUAGCAACCGAACAAGUAUCAAAUACUCAGGGGCUACUAUAAACACUAGUAAGGUACACAUCAAUAACCCGUAUAUCAAAUAUACCCUUGUUCACUUUGCCAUCCUUCUUAUCCACCAAAUAUUCAGGGCAUUUGCGAUUCCAGUGACCAUUUCCUUUGCAGUGUAAGAACUCAGUUUCAGGCUUUGGUCCAGCCUUGGGCUUCUUCACGGGAGUGACAACUUGCUUGUCAUUCUACUUGAAGUUCCCUUUCUUUCCCUUUGCCCUUUCUUUGAAACUAGUGGUCUUGUUAAUCAUCAACACUUGAUGCUCUUUCUUGAUUUCUACCUUCGUCGAUUUCAGCAUCACGAAGAACUCGGGAAUCGUUUUCAUCAUCCCUUGCAUUAUAGUUCAUCACGAAGUUCCAGUAACUUGGUGAUGGUGACUAGAGAACUCUGCCAAUCACUAUCUUAUCUGGAAGAUUAACUCCCACUUGAUUCAAGCGAUUGUAGUACUCAGACAAUCUCAGUACUUGCUCACUAUUUGAGUAAUUCUCCUCCAUCUUUUAGGCGAAGUAUUUGUCAAAGGUCUCAUACCUCUUGACACGGGCAUGAGUCUGAAAUACCAAUUUCAUCUCUUGAAACAUAUUAUAUGUUCCAUGAUGUUUCAAAAACGUUUUUGUAGUCCCGGUUCUAAGACAUAAAGCAUGGUGCACAAAACUAUCAAGUAGUCAUCAUAUUGAGCUAGGCAAACGUUCAUAACGUCUGAAUCUGCUCCUGCAAUAGGUCUGUCACCUAGCGGUGCAUAAAGGACAUAAUUCUUCUGUGCAGCAAUGAGGAUAAACCUCAGAUCACGGACCAAGUCCGCAUCAUUGCUACUAACAUCUUUCAACUUAGUUUUCUCCAGGAACACAUAUAAAACAUAGGGAAGCAACAACGCGAGCUAUUGAUCUACAACAUAAUUUGCAAAAUACUACCAGGACUAAGUUCAUGAUAAAUUAAAGUUCAAUUAAUCAUAUUACUUAAGAACUCCCACUUAGACAGACAUCUCUCUAGUCAUCUACGUGAUCACGUAAUCCAAAUCAACUAAACCAUGUCCGAUCAUCACGUGAGAUGGAGUAGUUUUCAAUGGUGAACAUCACUAUGUUGAUCAUAUCUACUAUAUGAUUCACGUUCGACCUUUCGGUCUCCAUGUUCCGAGGCCAUAUCUGUAUAUGCUAGGCUCGUCAAGUUUAACCUGAGUAUUCCACAUGUGCAACUGUUUUGCACCCGUUGUAUUUGAACGUAGAGCCUAUCACACCCGAUCAUCACGUGGUGUCUCAGCACGAAGAACUUUCACAAUGGUGCAUACUCAGGGAGAACACUUCUUGAUAAUUAGUGAGAGAUCAUCUUAAAAUGCUACCGUCAAUCAAAGCAAGAUAAGAUGCAUAAAGGAUACACAUCACAUGAAUCAACAUAAGUGAUAUGAUAUGGCCAUCAUCAUCUUGUGUUUGUGGUCUCCAUCUCCGAAGCACCGUCGUGGUCACCAUUGUCACCGGAGCGACACCUUGAUCUCCAUCGUAGCAUCGUUGUUGUUUCGCCAUCUAUUGCUUCUACGACUAUCGCUACCGCUUAGUGAUAAAGUAAAGCAAUUACAGGGUGCUUGCAUUUCAUACAAUAAAGCGACAACCAUAUGGCUCCUGCCAGUUGCCGAUAACUCAGUUACAAAACAUGAUCAUUUCAUACAAUAAAAUAUAACAUCACGUCUUGACCAUAUCACAUCACAACAUGCCCUGCAAAAACAAGUUAGACGUCCUCUACUUUGUAGUUGCAAAUUUUACGUGGCUGCUACAGGCUAAGCAAGAACCGUUCUUACCUACGCAUAAAAACCACAACGAUAGUUCGUCAAGUUAGUGCUGUUUUAACCUUCACAAGGACCGGGCGUAGCCACACUCGGUUCAACUAAAGUUGGAGAAACUGACACCCGCCAGCCACCUGUAUGCAAAGCACGUCGGUAAAACCAGUCUCGCGUAAGUGUACGUGUAAUUUCGGUCCAGGCCGCUUCAUCCAACAAUAUCGCCGAACCAAAGUAUGACUUGCUGGUAAGCAGUAUGACUUGUAUCGCCCACAACUCACUUGUGUUCUACUCGCGCAUAUAACAUUUACGCAUAAAACCUGGCUCGGAUGCCACUAUUGGGGAACGUAGUAAUUUCAAAAAAUUUCCUACGCAUACGCAAGAUCAUGGUGAUGCGUAUCAACAAGAGGGGAGAGUGUUGUCUACGUACCCUCAUAGACCGAAAGCGGAAGCGUUAGAACAAUUUGGUUGAUGUAGUCGUACGUCUUCACGGCCCGAUCAAUCAAGCACCAAAACUACGGCACCUCCGAGUUCUAGCAUACGUUCAGCUCGAUGACAUCCUUCAAACUUCGAUCCAGCCAAGUGUCGAGGGAGAAUUCCGUUAGCACGACGGCGUGGUGACGAUCUUGAUGUUCUACCGUCGCAGGGCUUCUCCUAAGCACCGCUACAAUAUUAUCGAGGAGGACUAUGAUGGAGGGGGGGGGCACCGCACACGACUAAGAGAUCAAGAGAUCAAUUGUUGUGUCUAGAGGUGCCCCCUGCCCCCGUAUAUAAAGGAUCAAGGGGGAGGAGGCGGCCGGCCAGGAGGAGGCGCGCCAAGGGGGGAGUCCUACUCCCACCGGGAGUAGGACUCCUCCUUCCCUUGUUGGCGUAGGAGAGAAGGGAAGAGGGGGAGAGGAGGAAGGAAAAGGGGGCUGCACCCCUUGUCCAAUUCGGACCAGAGGGGGGCUGCGCGCCUCCUUCCUUUCGGCCUCUCUCCUCUAUUCCCGUAUGGCCCAGUAAGGCCCAUAUACUCCCACACGAAUUCACGUAACUCUCCGGUACUCCGAAAAAUACCCGAAUCACUCGGAACCUUUCUGAAGUCCGAAUAUAGUCAUCCAAUAUAUCGAUCUUUACGUGUCGACCAUUUCGAGACUCCUCGUCAUGUCCCCGAUCUCAUCUGGGACUCCGAACUCCUUCGGUACAUCAAAACUCAUAAACUCAUAAUAUAACUGUCAUUGAAACCUUAAGCGUGUGGACCCUACGGGUUCGAGAACUAUGUAGACAUGACCGAGACACGUUUCCGGUCAAUAACCAAUAGCGAAACCUGGAUGCUCAUAUUGGCUCCUACAUAUUCUACGAAGAUCUUUUAUCGGUCAAACCGCAUAACAAUAUACGUUGUUCCCUUUGUCAUCGGUAUGUUACUUGCCCGAGAUUUGAUCGUCGGUAUCCAAUACCUAUUUCAAUCUCGUUACUGGCAAGUCUCUUUACUCGUUCCGUAAUGCAUCAUUUCGUAACUAACUCAUUAGUUACAUUGCUUGCAAGGCUUAUAGUGAUGUGCAUUACCGAGAUGGCCCAGAGAUACCACUCCGACAAUCGAAGUGACAAAACCUAAUCUCGAAAUAUGCCAACUCAACAUGUAUCUUUGGAGACACCUGUAGAUCUCCUUUAUAAUCACCCAGUUAUGUUGUGAUGUUUGGUAGCACACAAAGUGUUCCUCUGGUAAACGGGAGUUGCAUAAUCUCAUAGUUGUAGGCACAUGUAUAAGUCAUGAAGAAAGUAUACGCCAACUCAACAUGUACCUUUGGAGACACCUGUAGAGCUCCUUUAUAAUCACCCAGUUACGUUGUGACGUUUGGUAGCACACAAAGUGUUCCUCCGGUAAACGGGAGUUGCAUAAUCUCAUAGUUGUAGGAACAUGUAUAAGUCAUGAAGAAAGCAGUAGCAACAUACUAAACGAUCAAGUGCUAAGCUAACGGAAUGGGUCAUGUCAAUCACAUCAUUCUCCUAAUGAUGUGAUCCCGUUAAUCAAAUGACAACUCAUGUCUAUCGUUAGGAAACAUAACCAUCUUUGAUUAAUGAGCUAGUCAAGUAGAGGCAUACUAGUGACAUUAAAUUUUGUCUAUGUAUUCACACAUGUAUCAUGUUUCCGGCUAAUACAAUUCUAGCAUGAAUAAUAAACAUUCAUCAUGAUAUAAGGAAAUAAAUAAUACCUUUAUUAUUGCCUCUAGGGCAUAUUUCCUUCAAUGUUAGCUAGCAUUACACAUCAAAAUUUUUGUUUUUAUCAUUUACCUAUUCGAGGAUGAGCAGGAAUUAAGCUUGAGGAUGUUGACAUGUCCAACAUAUCUAUAAUUUUUUAUUGUUUCAUGCUAUCAUAUGAUCAAUCUUGGAUGCUUUAUAUGUAUUUUAUACUAUUUUAUAUCUUUUUGGACUAACCUAUUAUUUUGAAAAAAAAUUGAAUUGUUUGGAUUGCUUACCACAUGUGUCACGUGGUUUGGGACUAACUUUUUAACCCAAUGCCUAGUGCUAGUUAAUGUUUUUUUUGCUUGUUUUUGGCUCUUCAGAAAAACAAUACCAAAUGAACUUCAAACAUGAUGAAACUUUACGGUAAUUUUUUCUGGACUAGAAGAGGCCCUAGAAGGUUCGGGAGGAGGCUAGAAGAUCUACGGAAGAGCCACGAGCUCACAGGGCACGCCCCCGAGCUCAUGGGCCCCACGCAGCUCCGUUUGACCUAAUUUCAACUCCAUAACUUCACAUAUAUUUCCAAACCAAUAGAGAGCCACCCGAAACACUUUUUUUCCACCGCAAGCUUCUGUUCUUCCGUGAUCCCAUCUGGAGGCCUUUUCCGGUACUCUGCCGGAGGAGGAAUCGAUCAUGGAGGGCUUCUAUAUCAUCCUUGCUGCCUUUCGAUGAUGCAUGCAUAGUUCAUGACAGACCUACGGGUCCAUAUCUAGUAGGUAGAUGGCUUCAUCUCUCUCUUUGAUCUUCAAUACAAUGUUCUCCUCGAUUUUCUUAGAGCUUUUUUAUCCUAUGUAAUCUUUUUUUGCGGUGCGUUUAUUGGGAUGCAGUGAAUUAUGGGUUUAUGAUCAAAUUAUUAACUGAAAGUAAUUGUGUCUUUUCUGAGCUUUAUUAUGCAUGAUUGUUAUAGCUUCGUAUUAUCCUCCGAUCAAUUCGUUUGGUUUCGCCAACUAGAUUGAUUUAUCUUCAGUGGGAGAGGUGCUUUGUAAUGGGUUCAAUCUUGCGGUGUCCUCAUAUAGUGACAGAAGGGGAAGCAAGGCACAUAUAGUAUCGUUGCCAUUAAGGAUAAAACGACGUGGUUUAAUCAUAUUUCUUGAGUUUACUUUGUCUAGAUCAUGUCAUCUUGCUUAAGGUGUUACUCUGUUUGCCAUGAACUUAAUACGAUAGAUGCAUGCUAAAUAGCGGUCGAUUGGUGGAGUAAUACUAGUAGAUGUAGGCAGGAGUCGAUCUACUUGUCACAGACAUGACUAUAUACAUGAUCAUUGCCAUGAAUAUGUCAUAACUAUGUGUUUUUCUAUCGGUUGUCUAACAGUAAUUUGUUUACCCACAAUAUGCUACGUGUUCGAGAGAGAAGCCUCUAAUGAAAACUAUGGCGCUAGGUCUACUUUUAUCAUAUUAUUAAAACUAAAAAUACCUUCAUGCAAUUUUAUACUUUUUUUACUUUUCUUUUUAUCUAUCUAUCACUAUCAGAAUUAAUCCUUGCAAAUAAUGAGUUCAAGGGGAAUGACAAGACUCUUGCCGCGUUGGGUGCAAGUAUUUGCUUUUGUGUGUGUAGGUGCUGAAAAAGGGAAUUUGCGUGGUUCUCCUAUUGGUUUGAUAACCUUGGUUCUCACUGACGGGAAUACUUAUCUCUAUUGUAUUGCUCCACCCAUCCUCUUGGGGGAAAUCCCAACGCAGUUUAGAAGUAGCACUACUCCUCCUUCCUCCUCCAUAGACGCUUGGCGAAGCCCUGCCACAGCUCCACCAUAAAAUCCACCACCACGCCAUCGUGUUGGCCUAGAUCUCAUCUACCUAUCCCUGUCGCUUGCUGGAUGAAGGAGACAUCACCGAGCCAUACGUGUGCAUAUCCCUGAGGUGUCAUUCGUGCGGUGCUGGAUCGGAUUGGAUCACGAAGAGUGUACGACUACGCCAAGCACAUUCAUUAGAACGUUUCUGUUUUAGGUCUAGAAGGGUUUGUAGACUUUUCCCCCUCGUUGCUAGCAUCUAGUUGAUUAGAUCUCGGAUGUUUUCAUUGUCUCGUAGGAAAAAAAUUGUUUUUCAUGCAUUGAUUCUCAUCACCGACCUGCUUCAAAAGAAGCAGGUAGGAGCCCAGGCGGCCCGAGCUCAGCAGGUUGCCGGGUGGGAGGUCCCUAACAGGUGCAUCCAAGAAUGCAACAACCUCCAAGUAGAGAAGGCGUCCCUAACCGAGAGGACGAGACAACAAGAGCUGGAGCUGGAAGAAGUUAAGUCUCGCCUGGUCGAUGCCGGGAGCGUCGCGGCGGGCCCUUGAGAUCAUAGCCAGUGAGUCUGUCCAUGCUUCAACUCAUAAACUAGGUGGAAAUUUUAUUUGCCGAUCUGACAUACAAAUUCAUUAUUUCCAGCAUCUUUUCCCGACCUGCCAGCCAAUGCUGUUGGAGCGUCCCUUAGGGAGAAACUGCAGCAGUUUGGAGAGUUAAACAAGAUUGCGAGGCCGGUAAUGGAGGGUAUUUUCUUGGCCCUAUGGCCUGGAAGAAAGGUUGUCGGAAAACCAGUUUGACCUCUGCCGCCGCCUCCAGGAGGGGCAUGCUCGGAUUGCCCUGUGAAAGGCGUUAGUGGCCUGAGAAGAUGCUCGUCAAGCGUGGGCCAUGCUCCAGACCCACUAUCCGGGCUUGAACAUCUGCCCUAUUGCCGUAGUUGGUCCAAAAGGACCUGACGGUAAGGAGAUUAUGCCCUAUGCUAGGAUGUCCGAGCAGGAUUGUCGUUUGAAAAGAUUAUUGAAUAGGCUAGGAGUGUUACCCUGGAUUGUCAAGGACGAAACGUUGAAUAAAAACUUCUCGAAUUUCGCUACCACCAUGUUUAUUUUUUUCUAUACCAACAACAUGAUAGGUUUGCUCCGACCUGUUAGCAUACGCUUGCAUUAACCGGCCUUUGGCUUCAACCUCAACAACCAAAUGUGGAGGCCUUAUAAUUGAUGUUAACGCAAUGAGUAGGGAUCACCAUGCAACUAGGAUGCAAACAUAUCUAUGAAUAUAUGAAAUAUCUCGCAAGGAUUAAGUGGGGGUGUGUCCAACUUGUUUGCUCAUGAAGACCUCAAGCAUUUGAUAAAGCUCAUCAUCGGGAUAUACAAGGAAAAUUAUACAAUAUAAAUUCCCCAAGCUAGUAUAAAACAUGAAGCUCAUGAAACUUUAAUUAGAUGUAAAUUGUCCAGACCAACAAAAGUUCUUUAGUAAGGGUCUCUGACGAGAAUUUAUUUCAUCGAAAGUGUCCUACUCAGCUUGAGCUCAUAUGAAUUUUUUUAUUGCCGUGAAAAAGAUGAAUGCCAUUCUAUGAUGAAACCUUGCAAGGAUUUAUAACAUUUGUCAAAUUAAGCCACACACAAAAAAUCAGAAAUUUUUGAAUUCUCUCUAAAUAUUUUCAGAUUUUAUUGCUCACCCGAGCUCAUAUGAGCUCGAGCUCAGUUAAUCCGUGUCCAUGUUUCAUCCUACUCUACUAGCAAAAACCAAUGGAGCAGACGGUAGUGACGUGGAAAAGAAACCAUAACAAAUUUUUAGUGAUAUAUAAUUAAAGAAACAGAAAUUUACAAUUGCAAAUUAGGGAAUCUUAAUGUCAAAUACUGAAUUCUUCCACCCACUAGCUGUGAGACAUAUCCAUUGCAGUGCCAAAUAAAGAAGCUUUUCCAUGAAUUAAUAACAACAAGACAAUGGUCCGCGUGUUGUAUAUAAUAAAUAGAGUCCUGCUUCGGUACAACCCCCCUCGCAAUAUGUAUAAAGGGUAAUAUGGACUUUUCACAAUCUGUAUCUACUUCUGUACGUAACAUAUACGCCAGGCAGCUUACUUGGGCCGGCCCAUUUGCGGUGGCAUGCGAUGAAAAAUAGCGAAAAAGGAUCACACAAACUGGGAAUCGAAACCGACGACCACUUCAAAAUUUAACUGCGUCCACAACCACUGCGAUAGCAUGCCUUUGUUGAAUGAUCUAAAGUUGGAAACAAUAAAUAAUUGACAGGCUGGGAAUUUUAAAAAGAUUUCAGUAACACUUUCUGAACUGGCGUUUUUUCCAUAAUUUCUUUCUAUUUAUUUUCCUUUUCCUGCUAUUCUUCUUUCUUUUUCAAAAAUGUUCGCGCUUUCAAAAUGUUGUUCCAAAUUUCAAACGGUUCAUUAUUUCCAAGUUUUGUUCAUAAACUAAAAAUAUUUGCAUUUUUGAAAAUUGUAUUGUAAUUUGAAAAAAUGUUUGUGACUUUGAAAAAAUGUUCAGAAUGUAAAAUGUGAAUAAUGUUUUGAAAACCACAAAUAAAAUUGUGAAAAUGAACAUUUUCUGAGAGCACGGACAAAAAAUUAAAUUCCAAAGCAUUUUUCAGAAAUGAGACUAAAUAAAUGAUCUCAUAAAAUUAUUCUAAAUUUACACGAUUAUUUUUUAAAAUUUGUCAGAAUAUUUUUGAAAAUGAGAACAUUUUCUAAAUUCCGAACAAAUUCCAGUAGUCGCCCGACAAGAGCGAUGCCGUUGCUUAGUUGGGCAAGGCCUAAAGUUUUUUCUUUUCUAUUUUUUCGUUUUAUUCUCUUUUUUGUUAAUUUAUCUUUUCACCUUUUUGAACUUUAUGGUUCUUUUUUUUAACCUGCUCAAAAAAUUGAAAUACCAAAAUAAUAGUUUUAAGGAACUAUUUUAAAUUAUGAUUUUAAUUCUUUUUUUGUUUCAAUAUUUCUUAAAUGCUUUUUAAAAAGCAUCUGUUGUUUUCAAUUCUAUUAUUUAGUAUUUAUUGAUUAUUUUAGAAAUUUAAAAUGACAGUUUGAAGUAUCUAUAUAAAUUAUGAUUUUAAAUGACCCCAACAUUUGCCAGCUGGUGGCAUGGCCAUGGUAGGCAUCCAUGCCCCAAUAUUCUUUCAUGGCCUCGUAUGACCAAUUCAAUGCACCAUGACAAGUUGUUUUGGUUUUCGACAAAUUUUGUAUUUUUCUAGAGUUUUCUCGAUAAGAAAAUGCAAAAAAAGGCCGGACGUGUUGCAACUUUCAUACUGUGUCAGAAAUUGUUCAAACCUGGCAUGGAUGCCUAUGAGGGGCAUGCCCAUCUGGUGGCAAAAGUUGGGGCCAUUUUAAGGAUGUACUCCCUCCGUCCGAAAAUACUUGUCAUCAAAAUGGAUAAUAAGGGAUGUACGUAGAACUAAAAUACAUGUAGAUACAUCUCCUUUUAUCCAUUUUGAUGACAAGUAUUUUCGGACGGAGGAAGUAUAAAUAGACCAUGUUGAACAAACUGUGUUCUCGGGCAGAAGGAUUCGUCUGAGAGCAUGUUAGUUCUCGACAUCCUUGAAAUUAAUCCAAUUUUUUUCAAGGGCCUCGUAUGACCAAUUCAAGGCAUCAUGGAAAGUUGUUUGGGUUUUCAACAAGUUUUGCAUUUCCUGGAGUUUCUUGGUGAAAAAGUAACAAUUAAUGAUAGAACAUGUCGCAACGUGCAUACGGUGUCGGAAGUCAUUCAGACCAAGUAUGGAUGCCUAACAUGGGCAUGCCCACUUGCUUGCAAAAGUUGGGGGUAGUCCUGAUAUUUCCAAAGAAAUACCAUGUUGGAUGGAGAGUGUUCGAAUAGGCUAGAAGGAUCUGUUUGCGAGCUCCAUUUCUCAUGGCCUUGUAUAACCAAUUCAAGGCACCACACCAAAUUGUUUUGGUUUUGUCCAAUUUUGCGUUUUCUGAAGUUUUUGUGGUUAAGAAGGCCGAUAAAUGACCGGAUGUGUCAACACUUGAAUAUGGUGUAGAAAAACGUCCAAACUAGGCAUGUGCCUACCAUGGGCAUGCCUACCUUCUUGCAAAAGUGGGGUUCAUUUUAAAGAUGUUCAAAAAUAGACUAUGUUCAACGGAGAGUGUUCGAAUAGUGCAGAAGGGUCCGUUUGAAAGCUCGUUGUUUACUGACAUCUGUCAAAUAACCCCAAAUAUUUUUCAUGAGCUUCUAUGACCAAUUCAAGGCACAAUGCCAAUUUGUUUAGAUUUUUGAAAAGUUUUGUAUUUUCUAGAGUUUUCUCAUUGAAAGUAGGCCGAUAAAUGGUCGGACGUGUCACAACAUGUAAAGGGUGUCGGAAGUCAUUCAAACCUGGCGUGGAUGCCUCAUAUGUCCAAGCCAGGCUCUUGCAAGAAGGUGGGAUCAUUUAUCAAUAGCCUAAAAUAUACCAGUUAGAUGAGUUUAUUUCUAAUUCCCUUCAUUAUCACUCAACAUAAACAUUUUAUUUUUUCCUAACAAUUUCUUGAAAUUUCUCAACAAUUUUGGAACUUCAAAGUGUGUAUGAAAAAUUUACUAACUUGAACACUUUUUUCCAAAAUUGUUAACAAAUUACGAAAGAAUGAUGAAAAUUUCGAACAAAAAAGCAAACCGCGUACUUCUUAAAAAAAUUGUCAACUUUUUUGAAACACAUACAUUUCUUAAAUUUGUGAACAACAAAAUUCGAAAACUAGAACAUUUUAUGAAAUUCCAGAAUAUUUUUUAUAAUUUAAACAAUAUUUGAAAACAAAAUCAUUUUAUGUUAUGCCAAACAUUUUUUCCAAAAUUUGAACAAGUUUCACAAAGAUUAAUAAAGUUCAAAAGUAGAAAAAUGAAUUAACAAAAAGAGAAAAAAAAAGAAACUAACUGCAAUGAAAAAAAUGCUUAGGCCCUAGAAAAUAAGAAUGUUUCCGGAAAAUUUAAGUAUAUUUGGAAAAAUAUUCGUAAAUUUUAAAAAUUGUUUGUGUUUUUGAAUAAUGCUCGCCAAUUUGAAAAAGUUUUGCAUUUUAAAAAAAUGUUCAGAUAUUUCAAAAUUGUUUAUGUUUUCAAGAAAAUGGUCACAAAUGUGAUAAAUUAUUCAUCUUUUCAAAAAAAUCUGCAGUUUCAGAUAUAUGUUUACAAUACUGAAAAACUGUUCUUAAACUUUCAAAAAUAUUCACAAAAUCAAAGUAUUUUUCAUAAAAAAGGGUUCGGGAAUUUGAAAAAAAUGCGUUUCCAAAAGAAGUCCAAAUUUUGAAAAAUGUUUCGUAUUUUUAAAAAUAUUCCAAUAGAUGAAAAAACACAUUAGGUUUUUUAGCUAUAAAAAAUGCUUUAGCUAGAAUGUCCUGCCCAGUUGUGUUUUCCAAAAGAAGUCCGUGCACCAAUUUUGAUCUGCUAGAGUAUUUCUAGUAAAAAAAAAGCUCCUACAGUACGUCUGUUCUAGGUAAUAAACAACUACACUUCAAAAAUAUCAGCAAAUCCAGAUGGUUCUGGUGGCUAUUAGCAGUUUCCCAACCGCUGGAGGUCCUGUGUUCGAUGCCCAAUAGGCACACUAUGUUUUGGAUUUUUGAUCGGUGCUACCGCACAUACUCUCUCUAAUGGGCCGGCCCAAAAUAGACUCAGAACAUGACAGAUCUUCGCGACGUAUUUUCUUGAAAGACCAUCCUACUCUUUAUUAUGAAAAGGUAUAGACAGAUCUCGUCCAUUGAUGUAUUCGGGGGUUGUGCCGAAGAAGAAGAUAUAGACCUAUGAGGAAUUACGUAUGCAUGCUCAAGAACCUAUGUUCGUACAUACAUACACAAAAUCAUAUAGAACAAAAGGUAUGCUCCGGUCAGAAAGCAGAGUCGUACAGCAGAGUUUUGGACAAAAGUGAAGUUCACAAAAGACCUUCAUACGAGAUAGGCCAUUGUUUCAACUCGUAGUUUAGGCCUUGCCGGACUCCUCGCAACCCGGUGGCCUAAAGGCGAUGAAGCUGACGCACUGCACCUGGCGCAGGUUGUCGAAGCCGAUGACACGGACAUAGGCGUCAGGGUACUCCUUCUUGACCUCCUCCACCUCGUUCAGCACCUGUGUGGCGUCAGUGCACCCGAACAUAGGCAGCUUCCACAUUGUCCAGUAUCGGCCGUCGUAGUACCCGGGGGAGCUGUUGUGCUCACGGAAGACGAAGCCAACCUUGCUGAACUCGAGGCAGGGCACCCACUUUGAGCGGAUCAGGUAGUCGACCUGUUUCAGGAGGGCCUCCGUGGAUAGGGGUGGCAGGUAAGACAGGGUCUCGAACUUCUUGAUGCCCUCAAUUGGCCACACCUAAAUGAAUAGAAUGCGCACAGAUGCUCAAUACUUGGUGAUAAGUCAAUUAAUUGUACUAAACUACGCUAGAAAAAAUCAGUCGACAAGCCAAAAAUUGCUCCUUAUGGGCAGCUCUCAUAUGCAUUGCUGGGUUGUUCACAAUCAAUAAAGCUUUGGUUGUACUUAGUGCUAGUAUAUGGGUCCUAUUUCGAGGAUGGGUUUGGUUAUAUACAUUGGGGAUGUUCUGCAAGUGAAUUACUUGCACUGACAAAGAAACUCAUAUCUGUUUAAUUAGUGCCCGACAUACCUGCAUGCACCUGAUCCUUCCGCCAUUGCUGACGCUGCUGAG
rnacentral:lncRNA from 1 species